AUUGAACGCUGGCGGAAUGCUUUACACAUGCAAGUCGAACGGCAGCACGGACUUCGGUCUGGUGGCGAGUGGCGAACGGGUGAGUAAUGUAUCGGAACGUGCCCAGUCGUGGGGGAUAACGUAGUGAAAAUUACGCUAAUACCGCAUACGAUCUAUGGAUGAAAGCGGGGGAUCGCAAGACCUCGCGCGAUUGGAGCGGCCGAUAUCAGAUUAGGGAGUUGGUGGGGUAAGGGCCCCCCAAGCCAACGAUCUGUAGCUGGUCUGAGAGGACGACCAGCCACACUGGAACUGAGCCACGGUCCAGACUCCUACGGGAGGCAGCAGUGGGGAAUUUUGGACAAUGGGCGAAAGCCUGAUCCAGCCAUUCCGCGUGCAGGAUGAAGGCCCUCGGGUUGUAAACUGCUUUUGUACAGAACGAAAAGGUUUCUACUAAUACUAGGAGCUCAUGACGGUACUGUAAGAAUAAGCACCGGCUAACUACGUGCCAGCCGCCGCCGUAA
rnacentral:rRNA from 1 species